UCAUGUAGAUGUUUUGAGUACGACUUGUGAACCUACUCUUAUUAAAAUUAAAUUUACCCACAGGGAAGAAUUUCACAACAAGGGAUAGCGAAGAACUUACUAUGUAGUUCUAAAGAUGUGGGAGAUAAAAUGAUGAGGGAUACUUUGAAUCUUAAUUCUUCUUCAAAGGAUAAGAAAGCUGAAAGAAAAGAAGCUUUGAGUAAGAGGACCUAUGACAAAGAAAACAAGAUAAGUCUACUUUCUCUUAUGUAAAUAUAGGCUGCAGUUUCUAUCUUGUAAUGAAUUCCUGUACUAGGCUUCUUGUUGGUUAUUAUUAUUACUUUGGCAGCUGAAGUUGACUCUGAAUAGUAAGUACAGAAGUAAUAAUUCUUUCAUUAAUUUCUAAUUAUUUGUUGGUUGGGUCAUAUAACCUAGAAUAAUGUUGGUUAAGGGGGACCUUCAUGAUUAAUUCCCAUUACCUUUUGGUAUUUCUGAUGCUGAGUCAGCCAUAGUUAAAGUUUCCAAAUACAACUAGUAUUAUAUAAAAAAUAUGAAUUUACGCAGAAAAAAAAUUGAAGAUUAACAGAUUACAAGACACCAAUUAAUUUAACCACUUACUUUCUUUAAAUGUAAACAAACAAUUUUGAAUUCAAACCCAACUAAUUUUGAAAUGAUUGAAAUAAUUUAAGAAAUUUAGACAAAAAUUAGAACCAUAUAAAGUCAAAAAGGCAAAUUGAAUUUAAUUUUUACAUUUUGAAUUCAUAAUAUGUCAAAUUAUUAUCCAAAACUAAGAGAGUUAACACGUAAUAUCAAAUUACGCCGAGGAAAUAACAGGAGUGAAAAUACCAAAGAAAAAAAUUAGGCCUGAUCUCUAUAAAAUAUAACAUUCUUCUAAGCAAGGUAAAUGCACAUGAAGAGAUCAUAUAUUCAACUUGCACUCAUAAGAUUGAAAAUAAAAAAUUAAAAA